UAAACCGAACGCCGAGGGUUAAAAUCCCUCCUACUGCU
rnacentral:tRNA from 1 species